GUGAAGAAGGCCUUCGGUUGUAAGCUCUUUCGGCAGGAACGAAACGGCGGGCUCUAACAUAGCCUGCUAAUGACGGUACCUGAAGAAGAAGCACCGGCUAACUACGUGCCAGCAGCCGCGGUAAUACGUAGGGUGCGAGCGUUAAUCGGAAUUACUGGGCGUAAAGCGUGCGCAGGCGGUUUUGUAAGACAGAUGUGAAAUCCCCGGGCUUAACCUGGGAACUGCGUUUGUGACUGCAAGACUUGAGUGCGGCAGAGGGGGGUGGAAUUCCACGUGUAGCAGUGAAAUGCGUAGAGAUGUGGAGGAACACCGAUGGCGAAGGCAGCCCCCUGGGUCGACACUGACGCUCAUGCACGAAAGCGUGGGUAGCAAACAGGAUUAGAUACCCUGGUAGUCCACGCCCUAAACGAUGCCAACUAGGUGUUGGGGAAGGAGACUUCCUUAGUACCGUAGCUAACGCGUGAAGUUGGCCGCCUGGGGAGUACGGUCGC
rnacentral:rRNA from 1 species